AAACAACCAAGUACAAUGGUAUGACAAGGGCGGCUCUGUGCCUAAGUAAGUCAUGCGGAUCAAAUUGGACAUAAUUUAAAGAUUGGGCCGUGUCACGGAGAGAGCCAUUGAGGGAGGGAGAAGAGAGAGAACCUGAGGAAAUAGGUCCAAGGGAUUAGCACCGGGUCCUGAUGGAGGGAACUACAGCUUACUGUGGAGCCUGAACUGGGUCAGUUUAUUGGCCACUUGCAGAAGGUUCAU